AUGUACAUGCCUACAACAUAGCAUUAAUGCAGCGUAUCUCAUUAGAACUCCGCAGUUAGGCACGCUCAGGCUAGAGUAGUACUAGGAUGGGUGACUGCCCGUGAAGUCCUAGUGUUUUACAUU
rfam:Picea glauca, whole genome shotgun sequence.